rnacentral:rRNA from 1 species
AUACGUAGGUGACAAGCGUUAUCCGGAUUUACUGGGCGUAAAGGGCGUGUAGGCGGUCUUGCAAGUCAGAAGUGAAAUUCCUGAGCUCAACUCGGGCGCUGCUUCUGAAACUGCAGGACUUGAGUGCUGGAGGGGAUAGCGGAAUUCCUAGUGGAGCGGUAAAAUGCGCAGAUAUUAGGAAGAACACCGGUGGCGAAGGCGGCUAUCUGGACAGUAACUGACGCUGAGGCGCGAAAGCCAGGGGAGCGAACGGGAUUAGAUACCCCGGUAGUCCUGGCCGUAAACGAUGAAUGCUAGGUGUGGGUGUCGAGAGGCAUCCGUGCCGGAGUUAACGCGAUAAGCAUUCCACCUGGGGAGUACGCCGGCAACGGUGAAACUCAAAUGAAUUGGCGGGG